rnacentral:rRNA from 1 species
UACGUAGGUGGCGAGCGUUGUCCGGAAUUACUGGGUGUAAAGCGCGUGUAGGCGGGAGGCCAAGUCUGUGGUGAAAUCGCUCGGCUUAACUGGGCGGGGUCCAUGGAAACUGGUCACCUGGAGGUCGGUAGAGGCAAGUGGAAUUCCCGGUGUAGUGGUGAAAUGCGUAGAGAUCGGGAGGAACACCAGUGGCGAAGGCGGCUCUCUGGGCCUUACCUGACGCUGAGGAGCGAAAGCGUGGGUAGCGAACAGG